UCCAUCUGCCGAAGUUGGGGUUUUACGCCCACGGCAUGUCUGUUUGUCACUUUCUUCCGUCUUGUCAAGGCGGUUCAGAAUUUUUAUUAUUUCUCCCCUCGUAGUGGGUUAUCUCUCUUCACAGGCUAUAAGGAUUCCAUAAAGGGAUGGGUAGAGAGUUUCCUUGUGGCGGAGCUGAAAUUAGAAUCCGCCUUAUCGUGGGGAGUAGAUCUAAGUUAGG
rnacentral:lncRNA from 1 species